rnacentral:rRNA from 1 species
GAGUUUGAUUAUGGCUCAGGACGAACGCUGGCGGCGUGCUUAACACAUGCAAGUCGAACGUGAUUUUUGUGGAAAUUCUUUCGGGAAUGGAAGUAAAAUGAAAGUGGCGAACGGGUGAGUAACACGUGAGCAACCUACCUUACACAGGGGGAUAGCCGUUGGAAACGACGAUUAAUACCGCAUGAGACCACAGUAUCGCAUGGUAUAGGGGUCAAAGAUUUAUCGGUGUAAGAUGGGCUCGCGUCUGAUUAGCUAGUUGGAAGGGUAAAGGCCUACCAAGGCGACGAUCAGUAGCCGGUCUGAGAGGAUGAACGGCCACAUUGGAACUGAGACACGGUCCAAACUCCUACGGGAGGCAGCAGUGGGGAAUAUUGCACAAUGGGGGGAACCCUGAUGCAGCGACGCCGCGUGAGCGAAGAAGGUUUUCGAAUCGUAAAGCUCUGUCCUAUGAGAAGAUAAUGACGUUNUGNGAGCC